CCUACGGGCGGCAGCAGUGGGGAAUCUUGCGCAAUGGGCGAAAGCCUGACGCAGCCAUGCCGCGUGAAUGAUGAAGGUCUUAGGAUUGUAAAAUUCUUUCACCGGGGACGAUAAUGACGGUACCCGGAGAAGAAGCCCCGGCUAACUUCGUGCCAGCAGCCGCGGUAAUACGAAGGGGGCUAGCGUUGCUCGGAAUUACUGGGCGUAAAGGGAGCGUAGGCGGACUGUUAAGUUAGAGGUGAAAGCCCAGGGCUCAACCUUGGAAUUGCCUUUGAUACUGGCAGUCUUGAGUACGGAAGAGGUAUGUGGAACUCCGAGUGUAGAGGUGAAAUUCGUAGAUAUUCGGAAGAACACCAGUGGCGAAGGCGACAUACUGGUCCGUUACUGACGCUGAGGCUCGAAAGCGUGGGGAGCAAACAGGAUUAGAUACCCCAGUAGUC
rnacentral:rRNA from 1 species